AUUGAACGCUGGCGGCAGGCCUAACACAUGCAAGUCGAGCGAAGCGGGGACGGGUGAGUAACACGUGGAUAACCUCCUAUACGACUGGGCUAACUUCGGGAAACCGGAGCUAAACCGGAUACUUAAAGAUGGAUCAGGGCUGCAUUAGCUAGUUGGUAAGGUAACGGCUAACCAAGACAACGAUGAAUAGCCGACCUGGAAGGAUGAUCGCACACUCUGGGACGUAGACACGGUCCACACUCCUACGGAAGGCAGCAGUAGGGAAUCUUCCGCAAUGGGCGAAAGCCUGACGGAGCAACUCCGCGUGAGUGAUGAAGGUCUUCGGAUCGUAAAACUCUGUUAUUAGGGAAGCGGUACCUAAUCAGAAAGCCACGGCUAACUACGUGCCAGCCGCCGCGGUAAUUC
rnacentral:rRNA from 1 species